rnacentral:lncRNA from 1 species
UUAUUGAUGAAUUGCUUGUACUUUUGUCCAUUAUGAAACUUGGGACUUUGGCUUGUUGUUGGAUCUAUGAUAAUAUGUUUGGGAACAUAUAUAAGUGAAUAAAUAAGAAGGAAAAUUUUGGGCCCUUGUGGGUGUAAAACAAAAAAUGUUUAUGUUUACCCAAGUGUUUUUGUACAAGUUCAAGGGCAUCUUGGGUUUUGUGAACAAAAUUUGUUUAUUUGGAGCAAGGUUUUGUGGUGAAGCUUUGUAGGUGAAGCUUUGGUGUUGAAGCUUUCUAGGUGAAGCUUUGAUGGUGAAGCUUUGUAGAUGAAGCUUUCUAGGUGAAGCUUUGAUGGUGAAGCUUUGAUGGUGAAAGUAUGUAGAGGGAGCUUUCUAGGUGAAGAUUUUUUAGGUGAAGCUUUGUAGGUGAAGCUUUUUUAAGUGAAGCUUUUCGGGUGAAGCUUUUUAGGUGAAGCUUUUUAGGUGAAGCUUUGCAGGUGAAGCUUUGCAGGUGAAGCUUUCCGGGUGAAGCUUUUUGGGUAAAGCUCUUUAGGUGAAGCUUUGCGGGUGAAGCUUUGGAGGUGAAGCUUUUCGGGUGAAGCUUUUUAGGUGAAGCUUUUUGGAUGAAGCUGUUUUUUUUUUUUUUUUUUUUUUUUUUUUUUUUUU